AUGGGCCCGCGGGCCGGGCGGGCUCGGGGCGGCCGGGACGAGGAGGGGCGACGACGAGCUGCGAGCAAAGAUGUGCCCCGGGACCCCCGGCACCUUCCAGUGGAUUUCCUUGCGGAAAGGAUGUUGGCGGUCCCUGUGACCUGUGGAGACACGGCCAGAUCUGCCCUCCAGAUUUAUUAGGAGAAAAACCUUCCCGGAAGCUGCAGAAGGACAAAUACAGAAUCCGUGUCUGGGAGAAACCUCGUGGCCUGGUCUCCAUUAUUUGAGAUGAGUUACAUCUUGGAGGUGAGGACGUGCCUCGUGGUCUAAAGCUUCGGCACAAGGGCCCAACUGGAAUUCCACUUACGGGCCUGAUCUUUUGGCCAGAAGGAGAUUAAAAAGAUGCCCCUCAAGAUGGCUGUGCCUGUCAGCUGCAUGGAGCUUCGUUCAAGUAUUUUCUGAGCCUGAUGGAUUUACAGUGAUCUUCAGUGGUCUGGGGAAUAACGCUGGUGGAACCAUGCACUGGAAUGACACACGCCCGGCACAUUUCAGGAUACUAAAAGUGGUUUUAAGGGAGGCUGUGGCUGAAUGCCUCAUGGAUUCUUACAGCUUGGAUGUCCAUGGGGGACGAAGGACUGCAGCUGGCUGAGAGGGUUGAGAUCUCUGUUUACUUAGAUCUCUGCCAACUUCCUUUGGGUCUCCCUAUGGAAUGUAAGACCCCGACUCUUCCUGGUGAAGCAUCUGAUGCACGUUCCAUCCGGCGCUCAGCUGGGCUUGAGCUGACCAUACUCCCUGGAGCCUUCUCCCGAGGUGCGCGGGUGACCUUGGCACAUACAGCCAUCAUGAUGGUACUUUAAGUGGAGGCUGAAUCAUCUCCCCUUUGAGCUGCUUGGCACGUGGCUCCCUUGGUGUUCCCCUUUUACUGCCAGGACACUGAGAUUUGGAGAGAAUCCUGUUACACCUGGGAUUUAGGCACUUUCAAUCUGAAAAAAUACAUAUCCUUUCAGCACUCUGGACGGACUUGAGAACUGUCCUUACGUGACCUAAAGCUGGAGUAUUUUGAGAUUGGAGAAUUAAGGCCAACAGAGAUUUUGAGAAACACAUUGAAGGAUCUGUUAACACUUGAUAUACCCAAUAAAAGCAGUGGUUGUGCCAGUGCUGAUCUGUCUUGAUGUGAAUGUGAACAAUGGGAACCUGAGCUGAGCAGUUAAUGCUAGGGUGACAGAAACUGGACCUCUCCCAAGACAUGUGACAGAGUAAUACAGCAGCCAACUUCUUCGCCAAAUUAAAGUUUUACAAGAUUUAACCUGUCAUCAAGACCUGGGAUUUUGGUGAAGGACAGAAUAACGGGCUCCCAGAUUCACAAGCCCCACCAAGAGGAUCACCCCAGGAACGCUUGGAGGCUGAGGAGUUCACUGAGGCUACUGCAUCUUGAGACUCAGGAUGAAGACCCAGCUUGGGGCUGUCAAAGGUUUUUUGCAUGUCUGACACCCAUGACUCCACCUGGACCUUAUGGCUCCACCCAGAAGCAAUUCAGCCCAACAGGAGGACAGCUUCAACCCAUUACGAUUUCAUCUCUGCCCCAACCACUCAGCAGCAAGCACCUGUUACCUGUCCACCCCCACCCCUUCCCCCAAACUGCCUUUGAAAAAUCCCUAACCUAUGAGCUUUGAAUAAGAUGAGUACGAACUUCAUCGCCCACGUGGCGUGGCCGGCCUCGUGUCUAUUAAAUUCUUUUUCUACUACAA
ensembl:lncRNA PVT1 Pvt1 oncogene